AUGGCAGAUGUAGAGAAGGCUGCAAAGGCUAAAAAGGCAGCCAAAAGCCUAAAGCUGACAAGCCGAAAAAAGCUUCAGAUGCACCGAGGAAACCACGUCCUGUGGCUAAAAACAGGCCACCGAAGAAGCCGCUAGUAUUGGCGCCACCUCCCAAGGCCCCUAAGAAAGUCAAAGCUGUGAAACCAAGGCUCCCUGGCUCUGAGUUCAAGAGGCAGCAAAAGGUGAAGGCUCAGAAGGAGAAAGAGAAGAAGCGUCUAGAUGCCAGACUCAAGAAGGUCAAGUCGAAGAAGGCGACUGGUUUAAAGAAAACCGUCUUCCAGCUUAAAAGCAAAAACGCCUUGCCGAAAGGGAAGAAGAGGCGUCAUCAAGAAAAAGCCAAGUACAGAGCAGCUGUUGAGCUUGCUGUUGGAAAGACCUUGAACCCACGACUAACGGAAAUCCUCAAGACUUCCCUUUUCAAAAUUCAAGACAAGAAGUUCGAAAAGGAAAUAACUAAGGACCGUGAAAGAUCUCUGGAAAAGAGGAGUCCUCAAUACAAAUUGUACAAGUCCAAGAAAGGCAAAGUCCAUAAGGUCUGGCUUCAAAAACAAAGAAGGUCUUCAACAUCUACAACAGCGGGCGUGAGGUGA
rnacentral:lncRNA from 1 species